GCCAGGGUAGCCUAGUGGAUAUGGCAUCUGCAUCUGCCCCGUAAGCGAAACACUGUGGGUUCAAUUCCCAUCCCUGGAA